AGAGAAACUACAGUAAAAAAGGGAAAGCUUUAUAUUUCAGUACCUUUAACAGCAUUCUUUCCCUAUUUUUUGAACAAAGGACCUACAUUUUCAUCUGAUACUAUGCCAUGCAAAUAAUGUAGUCAGCCCUAUUUUUAACAAGCCUCCCAGUAAUUCUGACGAAAAACCAGGAUUGAGAGCCACUGGAGCAGAAGACCUUAUUAAGUCCCCGUGGCUGCUGAGACUGCGCGGGACUGAGUAUUGGAUGGGCCCCUGCUGCCCUCUAGCGACGACGCUGCACUGGUGCACGGUGUAUUAACCGGCUUCUGAGCUAUGGCCUUCUUGCUGUCUGACACUGCUCUGGGGUUUCCAGUCAAACUGCCCGGUAAUUUUGGUUCUUGCUCAUUAAUAACGAUGCUCAGGUAUAAAAGUGGUGAUGCAUCUCUGUCCCCAGCACCUUGGAACAUCCUAGCUAUUCAUUGGUAAGGCUCGUGGCAAACAUCGGUGGCAUGUCUGUCAGGAUUUUUCUUUCCAAGGAUGUAGGACCCAUAACAUGUAAGAAUCGGUAGCCAUAAACAGUUUCCUGAAGAAAUUUGAUGACGAUAACUGUGGC
rnacentral:lncRNA from 1 species